GACGGACGCUGGCGGCGUGCCUAAUACAUGCAAGUAGAACGCACAGUUUAUACCGUAGCUUGCUACACCAUAAACUGUGAGUUGCGAACGGGUGAGUAACGCGUAGGUAACCUGCCUGGUAGCGGGGGAUAACUAUUGGAAACGAUAGCUAAUACCGCAUAAUAUUGAUUAUUGCAUGAUAAUUGAUUGAAAGAUGCUAUUGCAUCACUACCAGAUGGACCUGCGUUGUAUUAGCUAGUAGGUGAGGUAACGGCUCACCUAGGCGACGAUACAUAGCCGACCUGAGAGGGUGAUCGGCCACACUGGGACUGAGACACGGCCCAGACUCCUACGGGAGGCAGCAGUAGGGAAUCUUCGGCAAUGGACGAAAGUCUGACCGAGCAACGCCGCGUGAGUGAAGAAGGUUUUCGGAUCGUAAAGCUCUGUUGUAAGAGAAGAACGGGUGUGAGAGUGGAAAGUUCACACUGUGACGGUAUCUUACCAGAAAGGGACGGCUAACUACGUG
rnacentral:rRNA from 1 species